rnacentral:lncRNA from 1 species
GCCGCAGGUCAGGGGAAAAAUGCGAAGCUUUUAUCUAAACAAAAUAUUGCUUUUGUUAAGAGCUUUCUGCACACAGAAGCUUUCCAGCCACGUGACACUGACCUUCCACUCCCCCAGAUUCAGCACUUUGCAGUCUGUUGUUAUUUUUAGUAGAUACAUAAAAGAAUCUCGAAAACUUUUAGCUCCGAAGAAAGCGUGCUUACAGACGGUGCCUCCACAUACCGGUCCUCAACUGUUCUUAAAGGACUCCCGGAGAAUCAGACAGCAGAGCGAAGGCCAGUACUGCACAGAACUGGCAGGACCAAGGGCAGUGAAGAGCGAGGUCUUGGAAAGUCCAGCAGUGGGGGCGGGGAGGGCGGUGGCCCAAGCCUGUAAUUCCAGAGAUUUGGGAGGUUGAGGCAGGAAGAUCAUAAGUUCAAAGCCAGUCUCAGCAACUUAGGGAGGCCCCGUAGCAAAAAUUAAGAGGAAAAAAAAAAGCCGACUGGAGAGGCAGUUCAAUGGUGAAGUACCCCUGGGUUCAGUCCCUAGGACCCGAAUAAAAAGGAGAAGUUUGGGUCAUAGACUUACAGGAUCAUGGAUGGUUUUACUAAGUGGGGGUGUUAGAAUAAUGACAUUGGAACACAUUUUUAGGUUCCUCCGUGGACAGGACUUUAGCAAUCUGUUUCUAGAUAAGAAUGUAGAUUUUAAUGAUGAUGAUGAUGAUGAUAAUGAAGUGUUUGCUGGACUCACCAGAGAGAAGACAUUAUCAAAGCCAUGGAUUAGUCCUUAAUAUGUGUCUGGCACCGGGCAGACUGUGCAGAGCACUCUGGGAGAGUCUCAAGGAUUUUACACCUAAAGAGCUUUACAAAUAAAUGUAUAAAAUAUAUUAAGAUCUGUUAUAAAAGUGCUUUCUUUCCCCCACUUUGAGUCAUAUGGUGCAGUACCAAUUAGUUGCUCACAUCAAAACUGAGACUUCUGUUUUGGAGGAAUUAACAAAAGACAACACAGCCUUA